GCCAGGGUAGCCUAGUGGUUAGAGUGUAGAGGUGGCAGGGUAGCCUAGUGGUUAGAGUGUAGAGGUGGCAGGUAGCCUAGUGGUUAGAGUGUAGAGGUGGCAAGUAGCCUAGUGGUUAGAGUGUAGAGGUGGCAGGGUAGCCUAGUGGUUAGAGUGUAGAGGUGGCAGGUAGCCUAGUGGUUAGAGUGUAGAGGCGGCAGGGUAGCCUAGUGAUUAGAGUGUAGAGGCGGCAGGGUAGCCUAGUGGUUAGAGUGUAGAGGUGGCAGGUAGCCUAGUGGUUAGAGUGUAGAGGUGGCAGGGUAGCCUAGUGGUUAGAGAGUAGAGGCGGCAGGGUAGCCUAGUGGUUAGAGUGUAGAUGUGGCAGAUAGCCUAGUGGUUAGAGUGUAGAGGUGGCAGGUAGCCUAGGGGUUAGAGAGUAGGUGCGGCAGGUAGCCUAGUGGUUAGAGUGUAGAUGUGGCAGAUAGCCUAGUGGUUAGAGUGUAGAGGUGGCAGGUAGCCUAGGGGUUAGAGAGUAGAGGCGGCAGGUAGCCUAGUGGUUAGAGUGUUGGACUAGU
ensembl:lncRNA